GUUGGCCUCUGGGUCCUGCAGCCGCGGCUGGACCGUGCGUCCUGCUCCUUAAAUGCCUCCAGCUGAAGGCUGUGUUUCAUCAUCAGGAGAUAAAAAAGUCAUCACUCAUCGUGUAAAGGAAGGCACCAAGGAUAGAAGGAUUGCCUCACAAGGAGCCUUUGGCCAUUUGCGGGGAGUGCGGGCGGGGGUGGGGGAAGGGCUUGGGAGGCUGGUGCCUGACCAGGCUGGAUGGAGGGGAGAGAAAAAAAGGAGCAGCAGAGGUCAAGGCAAUUUAGAAAAAAGUAUGCACAUGUGACAGUGGUUCUCAAACAGCAAGCUGUUUAAAAUGCAGCUUUGUAGCCCUCAUGCUCAGAAAUUCCAGAUUUAACAAGUCUAGAAUUGAGGCUCUGAAACCUGUAUUUAAAAAAAAUUUUCCCAGGUGAUGGCCAUGAAGGUAUUCUGUGAACUGUACACUAGGCUUUGAGAAGCUCUGCCCUGGGAUAGCACCCAGGGCUUCUGAUAGGGUACAGGCAGGCAGAGCUGGCAGAGGCCACCCAGCCCCAGCAUGAGGGGCCCGAAGCCUCGGGAGGAACGGCGCUCCCCCCCCCCGCCCCGGUUCUGCAAGAAUCGAGUCAUUGCCCCUGCAGUCGCUGACCUACAGGACACCCUGAAAGGACUUCAGGAAGGUGAUCAGGAUGCGGCACACUGUGCUCUGGGGAGACAGGCAAGUGAGCCCUUAGACAGUUACCAAUCUUACAAUGCUUUAGAAAGUUCUUAUGAAUCUGGAUUCUUACAUCUUCUCAUACUUAGAAAAGCACUAAAGUCAUGAACGGAGAAACCCGUUGCUUGUGACCAGGAGCAACCUUCUACCAAACUGUGUGCUUGAGUGCAGUCGACAGUUUUGCUGACCGUGAAGGAGCACAGAGCUAACUUCUCUCCUCUGUCUGAACACUAUGAGGAUUCAGAACCUUGGUAGCAGCAAGGGCCUUUUAUUCCCAUCCACCUCCUCAGCGAGUCCAGACGAAUUUGGGGGACACGGGUUUGAGCCCUGGUCCGGGAAGAUCCCACAUGCCGCAGAGCAACUAAGCCCGUCUGCCACAACUACUGAGCCUGUGUGUCACAACUACUGAAGCCCACAUGCCUAGAGCCCGUUCUCCGCAACAAGAGAAGCCACCGCAAUGAGAAGCCUGCGCACCACAACGAAGAGUAGCCCCCGCUCGCCGCAACGAGAGAAAGCCGGUGCACAGCAACGAAGACCCAACGCAGCCAAAAGUUGACCUUGAGGUUGCUUCUGAGCUGGAUUCACCUGGCAAGAAGGUCGGGGGUCGAGAGAAUCACAUUGAAUUUGGCCCUGGGCCUGGGCCUGCCCCCCAGAAAGGACGAAACGGACAGGACCUGCCUGGAGCCAGGCCGAGUGCCUAGUGUCCAGAGGGAACAGAGAGCAGCUGGGGAGCUGACUCUGACUUAGGAACGCUGCCUGUGGGCUUUGUUUCCAGCCCUCUCAGAGUCACAGGGAAGCUGGCACCAGAGGGAGAGCCUUGGCCUCUUGUUUGUCUCCAGCCCGAGCCAGCGGUGUGGAAAGAGGUCGGAGGGCCCGGCUCGGGGGUGGGGGGGUGGGGGGGGGGAGGCAGCAGGCCAGCCGCCCCAGGCUUCUCCUCCGUCCUGGCCCACGUGCGCCCUCGUGCACACGUGCCUCUUGGUGGGGAGGGGAGGGGUUACCAUGGGACAGGCCGGGCAGAUCACGUUCAAGGCCCUGCCACUGCUGUCGUGGGGAGAAUUAUGGCCGUCGUGACGGGGAGGAGGUGGUAUGGGGAGACUGCAGGAUCGGGGCACAGGCUUCUGCUGAUGUCAGAGCCUGCCGCUGACUCUGGGAUGGGUGUGGGGUGCUGGUGACCUCCUCCUGGGCCAAGGUUCUCUUCCUCAGCCUUUGCAGGCUGAGCGCCUUGUUAACUCUCACGGUCCCUCUGAGCAGGAAGGUAGGCAGAGAGGUCUGGGAAUUCCCUCUGGUUCUGGAAGUCCUCUGUGUCUGGCUUUGCUUUUGGAUGAGGGCAGAGCCCCCAAGGGUGGAGACCAGAGGGCACCGCAGGCCAGGAGGGAAGAGAUGCGGCCCAGGCCGUGCAGAGUGCUGGACAGGAAGGCCCAGGGCCGGGGAGGGAGGACCCCACUCAUUCACUCAACAAUCCUUUGAUGAGUGUCCACUGUGUAGCUCUACAGUUACAGGGGAAAACGAACCAUGUGACCCCCUAUGGGGAGCUGUAGGGCAGAUGAGGAGGUUCCGAAGUACAGAGGAGGGAGCACCUGACGACACAGGAGGAGGAAGCGGGUGCUUCUGGGGGGAAGUCAGAUUAGGAAGGAGUCAGCCAGGUGGGAGAGGGGCUGGGGGCCAGGCGCUCCAGGUAGAGCAUGGAGUGGGUGGUGGGGGGUGGUGGUGGAAAUCUGAGGGGUGCUCAGCUGUGGAAUGUCCGUAGGGCGCGGAGGGAAGUCAAGGCUGGAGAGAGAGGCAGAGGUCAGAGCCAGCUGGGUGGGCAUGGGAAGAUUCCUCCGCAGGUUCCCGGGAAGCAGAGGCCGGGAGUUGAGGAGGGGACCUGGAGCUGGUGUGGCCCGGCCCCGAGGAGAACUUCCUCAUCCAGGGAUCGAACCCACGUCCCCUGCACUGGAAGCACGGAGUCUUAACCACUGGACCGCCAGGGAAGCCCUGUUAUCAUAUUUGUACAGAGGAGACUAAGUGUAAGCUCAGUGAGGGGAGGGAAGGCAUCCCAUGAGUCUGGGGGGACUCAGCAGAUGAUAACGGCUGGCGUGGAGCGCUCCUGAGCCAGGGCUGGCUCUAAGCUCUUCACACGUGUUCACUCACUCCUUACCACCACCCAAAGAGCUGGUGCUAUUAGAUCCCCAUUUUACAGACAAGGAGCUGAGAGGUGCCGCUGGACCAAGUUCGGAGAGCUCUGAAGUGAAGAAACCGGGACGCACAGCCUGUGCUCUUCACCUUUUUUUUUUUUUUAUUGAAGUACAGUUGAUUUACAGUGUUGUGUUAGUUGCUGCUGUACAGCAAAGUGACUCAGUUAUACAUACAUAUAUAUAUAUAUAUAUCCUUUUUCAUAUUCUUUUCCAUUAUGUUUAUCACAGGAUAUUGAGUAUAGUUCCCUGUGCUCUACAGUAGGACCUUGUUGUUUAUCCAUUCUCUGUAUAAUAGUUUGCAUCUGCUAAUCCCAAACUCCCACUCCAUCCCUCUCCCACCCGCCUCCCCCUUGGCAACCACAAGUCUGUCCUCUAUGUCUGUGAGUUUGUUUCUGUUGCGUAGAUAAGUUCAUUUGUGUCAUAUUCUAGAUUCCACAUAUAAGUGAUAUAUGGUAUUUAUCUUUGUCUGGCUUACUUCACUUAGUAUGAUAAUCUUUAGGUCCAUCCAUGUAGCUGCAGAUGGCAUUAUUUCAUUCUUUUUUACGCCUGUGUGCUCUUCACGUUUUAAAAUCUCCUGUUUCUCUCUGAAAAGCAGGGCCCAUAUUUGCCUCUCAUGCCUGACAAAUCUCAGGGUGAUGCUCAGCAUGCCCAGCUAUCCCCUUACACUGGUUCCCUUGUCCUCGUCUGCCUGUUUCCAGCAGGAGCCCUGGCAGAGCUGGAGGAGUAGACAGCUAGGGGAGUGUGAACCAGGGUGGACAGCCCCAGAGCUUUGGGACAGACGUUGGCGCACCAAUCAUCUCCAGACUCUUCAUGCCUGGGGGGCUGUGGUCUCCAGUGAGGGCAGUAAGAGAACAUCUCCACGUUCAGUGUAAGGAUCUCUGCUAAUCACUCCACUCCGGGAUGCUCUGUGAGUCCUGCCGUCCUCAUCCUUUGAGGCAUUACUGGUCUCUGAAGCAUCUUAUCUGACCAGCCUGAAUUCACUGCAUUCCCCAUCCAUCCAUCUGUCCAUCAACCCAUCCUUCAACCCCAAAAAUAUGUACUGAGACUUGAUAUAUGCCCGGUAUCAUCCUAGAUGUGGGACUACAGGAGUGAACAUGACAAAAAUUCUGUCCUUAAGGGUUUACAUUCUAGUAGGGGAGUGGAGCAGACAGUAAAGAAGUGAAACUUAUGUUGGAUUGCGAUACUUGCUCUGGUGAAAAGCAAAGCUGCCGAGGAUAUAGGUGGGGGGAGGGGGGAGGUGUGCUAUUUAAAACAGGUCGUGAGGGAAGGAUUCUUGCAGUUAUCUGGGACAAGUAUGUCCUAAGCAGAGAGAACAGGAAAUUCCGGCCUCGUCCAGAGCCUGCUGCAUCUGCUCUGCCUGCUGGCCUGCACCGUCUGCCGUCUGCACCUCGCUCUGCCUGACCUGCCACCCAUACUCCUGUGAGCAAAACUGAGGCCACUCUCCAGCCAUCACAUCUGUGUCAUACCCCUGGGGCUCAUGCUGAUGUGGCAUCCCUGAGAAGCCCUGCACAAUGGCAGCGUGAGGGCAUCUGGUUCUGCUAAGUAUCCAGGGCCUGUUGGGAGUUUAUCCGAGCAGGGUGGGAGAGCAGAUACUGUGGCUUAAAUUCAGCCGACAACAUGUGACGUAAGGUCAAGGGCCAAGGAAAGGGGAAAAGAACAGCUGGGAGAGAGAGAGGCUGCUGUACCCAGUUAUAUCAGAAUAAAGAUCGCCAGGAAAGGGGCUGCAGUAGAUCUCCCUUGUUUGUUUGUUUUCCUUGAAAGUGGUCUCAUGGGAACCUCUACUGGAAGAAACUAUUAAAGACAAAACAAAGGUAUAGAACUGAGAUUGAUUCUGAAGCCUGAUUUACAGUAGAGGAGUACCCGCAGUGGUCCAGGAAAAAAGCACGAUUUCAGUACCUGCAAAAAGCCUGGACUGGGCAAAGCUGAGGGCAGGCUCUGAGCAGCAGGGAGACAGAACAGGAGGGAAGCAGGGAGUCUCAUUCCAUGCUUCAGCUCUCUUUGCUGCUGCCUGUGUGACAAAGGUCUAAAGGCAAUAUGUUAUUACGCGUAACAACUGAAGCCCAGCUAUGGCUUGGAAAUUCCUGAACUACUGUGGAAAUUCUCUCCUUUGAAUCAUGACUCUUUUGAUUGCAUUUGGACUUCUGUUUGAAGGAGGUUGAAAAGACGAGUACAGUGAAUCCGAAUCUCUUGAAGGUGCCGGAUAUUCUGAAACAGUGGUGCUCAGAAAAAAGCAGAAUGCUUACAGAAUGCUGUAAUUCUGCUGACUCUCAAAGAACAUCUUCUUGUAGUGAAAGUUAGCCACCUCUUCCACAAGUCUCCCCUUUGUGGGGAAGUUAAUAACAAAUUCCGGCUAUUCAACAGUAAGGUUAGAGAUGAAACACACUAGAUAAAUCAUUAAGUGCGACGGUUCUUCACAAAUUAGCUACCUUGAAACCAACCCAAUGAUGAAUAGCUCAGAAGUCUGCAUUUGGCGCAGUUUUAAAAACACCUGAGCUCAUAAAAUGUGGUAUGUUUAAUACUAUAAAAUGACUCAAACAUAGGAAUUGGCUAUAAAUAUCUUCCCUGCAAAGAAUGUCUUUGCUCAACAGACUAUAAAAUAAGUAUCUGGAAUAGUUUUACAGUUAAAACUGAGAAUCAGGGAGGAAAAGUGACUUGCUUGAGCCCAAGGUGCUAGAGAGAACAGAGUCCAGGUUUCGGAAAGUCCAGCCUCUUAGCUUCCUGUGUGAUCAACAUCAUUCCAGAAAAGGGGCAUCACUUGGCUUGGCUGAGAAUAACCUAGAUAUAUCAGUCACUGCAACACGAUUUUAUCUGUGCUUUUUGAUCACAGCAUAGGAGGCUCAAGACUCAAUCCAAAGGACUAGAAAACCUAACGAAAUUAACAAUACUUAGAGAAGUCGUUAUGUGGAUCUCAAGGGAACGCAGCUGGGAUAGCUGUUGGUGAAGCAAACAGCUGCUUCUCAAACAAACACCAGCUUCUCUUAUAAUCAGUAAGUGCAAAACUUCACGGAGAGAGCCCUCCUCAAGCCUGAAAACUUGUUUUUCUUAUCAGAAAAAAACCAUGACAAGGGGAGAAAGGAGGACCCACAGGAUAUCUGGUAUGAAAAUAUUCCUUCAUAAGUAACUAGUAGGUUGGAAUUGUGACAGAAGGGAGAUCCCAGCAUGUGUGUGUAUGGACUGCUUAUACCUUUGAGAGCAGAAAUUUAAUGACUAUUCACUGAAGGCAACUCAAACUUGGGAAAUAAUAACAUUGCAAUUUUGAGAUUCAUAUUUUAUUUACAAGCAAAUGAAGAAUAUUCCCUGUAACCAUUAAUUUGGGGGGAGAAGAGCAAUAUAAAGAAGUAGUUGCUGGCUCCACAGUGACGUGUGAAAGGAGUCCAUGCCACUGUUUCUUUAAAUGAUUUUGUUAUUAAAAAAACCGAAACAAAACGCACAGUUUCUUCAUGUUGCAUAUGUGAAAGAAUUCCAAAUAAAAAUGACUUUUCAAAGUUCUGCA